ACAGACUUAGUCCUAACCUUACCGUUAAUUCUUGCCAAACAUAUACAUGCAAGUAUCCGCACUCCAGUGUAAAUGCCCUCAUUCCUCGCCCAAGACUAGAGGAGCAGGCAUCAGGCACACGCACUUGUAGCCCAAAACGCCUUGCUCAGCCACACCCACGGGUAUUCAGCAGUAAUUAACAUUAAGCAAUAAGUGUAAGCUUGACUUAGUUAUGGCAACAUAUANGGCUGGUAAAUCUUGUGCCAGCCACCGCGGUCACACAAGAAGCCCAAAUUAACUGUAAUCCGGCGUAAAGAGUGGCAACAUGCUAUCACCCAACUAAGAUCAAAAUGCACCUAAGCUGUUAUAAGCCAUGAUGCACUUAARANNNNNNNNNNNNNNNNNNNNNNACUAACRAUNNNNNNNNNNCACGAAAGCCAGGGCACAAACUGAGAUUAGACACCCACUAUGCCUGGCCCUAAAUCCAGAUGCUUACUUCACUAAAGUAUCCGCCUGAGAACUACGAGCACAAACGCUUAAAACUCUAAGGACUUGGCGGUGCCCAAACCCACCUAGAGGAGCCUGUUCUAUAAUCGAUAACCCACGCUACACCCGACCGCCUCUCGCCACAAAGCAGCCUACAUACCGCCGUCGCCAGCUCACCUUCACUGAAAGCCCAACAGUGAGCACAACAGCCACCCGCUAACAAGACAGGUCAAGGUAUAGCCUAUGAGACGGAAGAAAUGGGCUACAUUUUCUAAAAUAGAAUACCCAACGAAAGAGGAAAUGAAACCUUUCCCAGAAGGCGGAUUUAGCAGUAAAGAAAAACAACAAUGUUUUCUUUAAACCAGRCCCUGGGCACGUACAUACCGCCCGUCACCCUCCUCACAAGCCCUAAACCACCAUAACUAAUCUACAACCAUCAAGCUAAAGACGAGGUAAGUCGUAACAAGGUAAGUGUACCGGAAGGUGCACUUAGCAU
rnacentral:ncRNA from 1 species